GCUGGGCAUGGUGGCGCAUGCCUGUAGUCCCAGCUACUCAGGAGGCUGAGGCUGGAGAAUCGCUUGAACCCAGGAGGUGGAGCUUGCAGUGAGCCGAGAUCGCACUACUGCACUCCAGCCUGGAUGACAGAGUGAGACUCUGUCUCAA
rnacentral:SRP_RNA from 1 species